UUAGAGCGCGCAGGUCCACACCCGAGCCCAGCAAGCUGGGGGCUGCGCACAGGUCACUGGUUCGAGUCCAGUAGUGCCCA
rnacentral:tRNA from 1 species